rnacentral:lncRNA from 1 species
UGAAAAAGUAGCGCUGGAUUACUUUCGUAAGGAAGAAGAAAUAAUUCAUCACCAACUAGCCCCGCAACGUGUUUUAUUAAACGAACCCAUAUUUU